rnacentral:rRNA from 1 species
GGGUCAGUAGGUUGGUCGUGCCACCGGUACGUACUGGUCUCACUGAUUCCUCCUUCCUGAAGAACCGUAAUGCCAUUAAUUUGGUGUUGCGGGGAAACAGGACUGUUACUUUGAAAAAAUUAGAGUGUUUAAAGCAAGCUAACGCAUGAAUACAUUAGCAUGGAAUAAUGAAAUAGGACGAUCGAUCCUAUUUUGUUGGUUUCUAGGAUUGACGUA